UGGGGAAUAUUGCACAAUGGGCGCAAGCCUGAUGCAGCCAUGCCGCGUGUAUGAAGAAGGCCUUCGGGUUGUAAAGUACUUUCAGCGGGGAGGAAGGUGUUGAGGUUAAUAACCUCAGCAAUUGACGUUACCCGCAGAAGAAGCACCGGCUAACUCCGUGCCAGCAGCCGCGGUAAUACGGAGGGUGCAAGCGUUAAUCGGAAUUACUGGGCGUAAAGCGCACGCAGGCGGUCUGUCAAGUCGGAUGUGAAAUCCCCGGGCUCAACCUGGGAACUGCAUUCGAAACUGGCAGGCUAGAGUCUUGUAGAGGGGGGUAGAAUUCCAGGUGUAGCGGUGAAAUGCGUAGAGAUCUGGAGGAAUACUGGUGGCGAAGGCGGCCCCCUGGACAAAGACUGACGCUCAGGUGCGAAAGCGUGGGGAGCAAACA
rnacentral:rRNA from 1 species